AUUUUCCCUGCUAGCCAGGAUCGACCGCGACUCAGGAAACGAGGAAGGAUCCUUGUGCACUUCUAUCGCUCUCUUUUCUGGCAAUUUCUCCCCGCUCUUACCUGCCGUACCUCAACAGCAUUAAAAAGCAAAGCAGGAAAAGAAGAGAGAUAUGAAAAUAACCAUAAGUUUCUUCAUAUCUCUGAGAUACUACUUUCUAAUCAUUGCCCUUCUACACCGAGUCGGGUCCCUCGACCCAAUUUCUGCAGUCUGCGAGCUUAGUUUCGUUGUUAGAGACAAGGUUUAUAGAUUCAACUUAGUUUCUCCGCUCCCGAAUUUUCCUCACGGUGUCCUCAGCGAAGAUGGGUUUUAUAAGGUAGCAGUGAACGAGACUGUGCUCUGGUUUCAGCUCUGUGAUGGAAUGAUUUUUAAUCAUGAUGCCCCUAGAUGUGUUGACUGCCUGGACUGCGGGGGGGCAUCGCGUUGUGGCUUGGAAUGCAGUGCUCUCAUGGCAAGGAAUAUUGAAGGUUAUGAUGUAUGCACCACUAUUGGAAAAGUCACUAGCACUAGCACUAACAUUAUUGAUAAUCAAAAUCCCCACAAGGGUGUGAUUGUCAAGAUGACAAGCAGCGGAUCAAAGCAUAAUUGUUCACUCUCUGUCUCUGUCAUCUGUGAUUCAAAUAGAGUUAAUGGGCCACACUCACUGGAGAAACUAGGGACUUGUGAUUAUGCCGCAGUGCUACAGCACCCUUCUGGUUGUGCCACGAUCAAUGGUCAUGGAAAAGGAUGGGGCUGGUUUGGUACCUUGAUGAUCACUGUCUUUUGUCUUUUUGGAGGUUAUUUAUUGGCGGGUGCAGUUUAUCGACAUUUCUACCUUGGAGUUCAUGGGUUAGAUAUGAUUCCAAACUUGGAUUUCUGGACCAGGCUACCUCACAGAACACAGGGCUUUUUUGCAUCUUUGGUACGGAGAUUUAGAGGACCUACUGAAGGUUAUCGAAACUCCUAUUCUCCUGUCAACUUUUGAAGAUCUGGGACUUGAUUUACGAUUUUGUAGUGAUGAGGCUCGAAUUUGCGUAUGAACCUCGCGCAAGUAAAUCCGACCACACUGAUGGUUCCAUCUUAGAAAAGCUACUGGUGGUCAAGUCUGAAAUGUAUGCUUGAAGUAGGGUUUGAAAACCCUUUUGCACAACCAUCCUGUUCACGAUUACACCACAAUAUCCAGGAGCAGAUGGAACCUGUGAGGUGAGCAGAUGGAACCUGCAAGCUUGGUUAGUUUUGCCUAAAGAUAGUGGGAUGUCUAAAACAAUCUACAGCAAAUUAUCAAAGUGUUUUGACGAGGCAAAAAGAGGUUGAUAUAAUCAGAGAAUUAAUUUAUUUACUUUGGAAACUGGCCUAUUUUAUAGCUAUUAGAAGCACUUUAUUUAAUGUUUUAUUAAGCGAUGGAAUAUAAAGUUUCAUUACAUCUAUAUUUGGCCUAGUAAAGGGUAAAAAGAGGCAGAAAGGAAAUGCAUAAAGGAUUGGAAAUCACAGAUAGCUGAUGGUUGUGCAUGAGAAAAUCUAGUGAUGCCAUGGAAUUGUUGAGAAAAAAAAAUCGAGAUGAUAAAGACAUGAGAAGCCUUCAGCUGUUUCUGACUCAUGUUAUAAUCUGAAUGUUCGCAUUUGAAGUGACGUUCUUG